rnacentral:rRNA from 1 species
CAAGUCGAACGAUGAAGCCUUUCGGGGUGGAUUAGUGGCGAACGGGUGAGUAACACGUGGGCAAUCUGCCCUUCACUCUGGGACAAGCCCUGGAAACGGGGUCUAAUACCGGAUAACACUUCCUGCCGCAUGGUGGGGGGUUAAAAGCUCCGGCGGUGAAGGAUGAGCCCGCGGCCUAUCAGCUUGUUGGUGGGGUGAUGGCCUACCAAGGCGACGACGGGUUAGCCCGGCCUGAGAGGCGACCGGCCACACUGGGACUGAGACACGGCCCAGACUCCUACGGGAGGCAGCAGUGGGGAAUAUUGCACAAUGGGCGAAAGCCUGAUGCAGCGACGCCGCGUGAGGGAUGACGGCCUUCGGGUUGUAAACCUCUUUCAGCAGGGAAGAAGCGAGAGUGACGGUACCUGCAGAAGAAGCGCCGGCUAACUACGUGCCAGCAGCCGCGGUAAUACGUAGGGCGCAAGCGUUGUCCGGAAUUAUUGGGCGUAAAGAGCUCGUAGGCGGCUUGUCACGUCGGAUGUGAAAGCCCGGGGCUUAACCCCGGGUCUGCAUUCGAUACGGGCUAGCUAGAGUGUGGUAGGGGAGAUCGGAAUUCCUGGUGUAGCGGUGAAAUGCGCAGAUAUCAGGAGGAACACCGGUGGCGAAGGCGGAUUCUGGGCCAUUACUGACGCUGAGGAGCGAAAGCGUGGGGAGCGAACAGGAUUAGAUACCCUGGUAGUCCACGCCGUAAACGUUGGGAACUAGGUGUUGGCGACAUUCCACGUCGUCGGUGCCGCAGCUAACGCAUUAAGUUCCCCGCCUGGGGAGUACGGCCGCAAGGCUAAACUCAAAGGAAUUGACGGGGGCCCGCACAAGCAGCGGAGCAUGUGGCUUAAUUCGACGCAACGCGAAGAACCUUACCAAGGCUUGACAUAUACCGGAAACGGCCAGAGAUGGUCGCCCCCUUGUGGUCGGUAUACAGGUGGUGCAUGGCUGUCGUCAGCUCGUGUCGUGAGAUGUUGGGUUAAGUCCCGCAACGAGCGCAACCCUUGUUCUGUGUUGCCAGCAUGCCCUUCGGGGUGAUGGGGACUCACAGGAGACUGCCGGGGUCAACUCGGAGGAAGGUGGGGACGACGUCAAGUCAUCAUGCCCCUUAUGUCUUGGGCUGCACACGUGCUACAAUGGCCGGUACAAAGAGCUGCGAUGCCGCGAGGCGGAGCGAAUCUCAAAAAGCCGGUCUCAGUUCGGAUUGGGGUCUGCAACUCGACCCCAUGAAGUCGGAGUUGCUAGUAAUCGCAGAUCAGCAUUGCUGCGGUGAAUACGUUCCCGGGCCUUGUACACACCGCCCGUCACGUCACGAAAGUCGGUAACANCCGAAGCCGGUGGCCCAACCCCUUGUGGGAGGGAGCUGUCGAAGGUGGGACUGGC